rnacentral:rRNA from 1 species
AUGAGGCGUCAGUCGGUGUUGGUUCACCUUGGUCCUGCAGCAAAGCUAGCCACCGUGAUCGGGUGGGUUGCAACAUCAACGAUGCUGCAACCUCGGCGACUUUUGGCUCGCCUCUGGCCGGUAGAGGUCGGUUGCAGCACGGUACGACGAGAUGGGUGGCUGGGGUGGCGUCAGAGUGCGGCGAAGUGGUGGGCGGAGGUUCUCCUGCAGCACCGCGCCUCUGGUGCAACAGUGGUCGCCUUUCUGUGGUCCCCCCAUGGCUUGCAGCAACGGGUUGGACAGAGAGGGAUGUUCGGUGAGAAAACUCUGUCAAAGGAACAAAAUAAACUCGAGGAGAAACAGAGAGCGCAGGUUUAUAGUUAUAAGGAUAGCAGUGGGAUGGACCCCACAGGGACACGUGUACCAUAA